AAACUAUGAUGAGAACACUGCUUUAAUAAACUUUUGAAUCUCUCACAUGCUUCAAAUAGAGAUUCUCCAUAUACCUGAGCAAAACUUGUAAUGCACAUCCUCAUAU